GUGGGUAGUUUGACUGGGGCGGUCUCCUCCUAAAGAGUAACGGAGGAGCACGAAGGUUGGCUAAUCCUGGUCGGACAUCAGGAGGUUAGUGCAAUGGCAUAAGCCAGCUUGACUGCGAGCGUGACGGCGCGAGCAGGUGCGAAAGCAGGUCAUAGUGAUCCGGUGGUUCUGAAUGGAAGGGCCAUCGCUCAACGGAUAAAAGGUACUCCGGGGAUAACAGGCUGAUACCGCCCAAGAGUUCAUAUCGACGGCGGUGUUUGGCACCUCGAUGUCGGCUCAUCACAUCCUGGGGCUGAAGUAGGUCCCAAGGGUAUGGCUGUUCGCCAUUUAAAGUGGUACGCGAGCUGGGUUUAGAACGUCGUGAGACAGUUCGGUCCCUAUCUGCCGUGGGCGCUGGAGAACUGAGGGGGGCUGCUCCUAGUACGAGAGGACCGGAGUGGACGCAUCACUGGUGUUCGGGUUGUCAUGCCAAUGGCACUGCCCGGUAGCUAAAUGCGGAAGAGAUAAGUGCUGAAAGCAUCUAAGCACGAAACUUGCCCCGAGAUGAGUUCUCCCUGAGACUUUAGGUCUCCUGAAGGAACGUUGAAGACGACGACGUUGAUAGGCCGGGUGUGUAAGCGCAGCGAUGCGUUGAGCUAACCGGUACUAAU
rnacentral:rRNA from 1 species